ACACUCCUACGGGAGGCAGCAGUGGGGAAUAUUGGACAAUGGGCGAAAGCCUGAUCCAGCCAUGCCGCGUGUGUGAAGAAGGUCUUCGGAUUGUAAAGCACUUUAAGUUGGGAGGAAGGGCAGUAAGCUAAUACCUUGCUGUUUUGACGUUACCGACAGAAUAAGCACCGGCUAACUUCGUGCCAGCAGCCGCGGUAAUACGAAGGGUGCAAGCGUUAAUCGGAAUUACUGGGCGUAAAGCGCGCGUAGGUGGUUUGAUAAGUUGGAUGUGAAAGCCCCGGGCUCAACCUGGGAAUUGCAUCCAAAACUGUCUGACUAGAGUAUGGCAGAGGGUGGUGGAAUUUCCUGUGUAGCGGUGAAAUGCGUAGAUAUAGGAAGGAACACCAGUGGCGAAGGCGACCACCUGGGCUAAUACUGACACUGAGGUGCGAAAGCGUGGGGAGCAAACAGGAUUAUAAACCCCGGUAGUCCCAUGAU
rnacentral:rRNA from 1 species